CCGCACAAGCGGUGGAGUAUGUGGUUUAAUUCGACGCAACGCGCAGAACCUUACCUAGACUUGACAUCCCGGGGAUUUUCUGGAAACAGAGAAGUGCUUUAGCAAUAAAGAACCCGGUGACAGGUGCUGCAUGGCUGCCGUCAGCUCGUGUCGUGAGAUGUUGGGUUAAGUCCCGCAACGAGCGCAACCCUCGCCUUUAGUUGCCAGCAUUCAGUUGGGGCACUCUAGAGGGACUGCCGGUGUCAAACCGGAGGAAGGUGGGGAUGACGUCAAGUCCUCAUGGCCUUUAUGACCAGGGCUACACACGUACUACAAUGGCCGGUACAAAGGGCAGCCACUUAGCGAUAAGGAGCCAAUCCCGUAAAGCCGGUCUCAGUCCGGAUUGGAGUCUGCAACUCGACUCCAUGAAGUUGGAAUCGCUAGUAAUCGCAGAUCAGCACGCUGCGGUGAAUACGUUCCCGGGCCUU
rnacentral:rRNA from 1 species